rnacentral:misc_RNA from 1 species
UACGGAGGGUGCAAGCGUUAAUCGGAUUUAUUGGGCGUAAAGGGCGCGUGGGCGGGGAAGCAAGUUAGAUGUGAAAUCCCGGGGCUCAACUCCGGACCCGCAUCUAAUACUGCUUCUCUAGAGGAUGGAUGGAGAAAAGGGAAUUCCACGUGUAGCGGUGAAAUGCGUAGAUAUGUGGAAGAACACCAGUGGCGAAGGCGCUUUUCUAAUUUAUUCCUGACGCUGAAGCGCGAAAGCAAGGGGAGCAAACAGG